rnacentral:rRNA from 1 species
GACGAACGCUGGCGGCGUGCUUAACACAUGCAAGUCGAACGGAAAGGCCCUGCUUUUGGGGGGUGGGCGAGGGGGGAAAGGGGGAGGAACACGGGAGUAACCCGCCCUUGACUUUGGGAUAAAUCCAGGAAAAGGGGGCUAAUACCGGAUAGGAGCUCUUGCUGCGCGGGGGGGGGUGGAAAGUUUCGGCGGUUGGGUGUGGUCUCGCGGCUUAUCAGCCUGUUGGUAGGUAGUGGCUUACCAAGGCUUUGGCGGGUAGCCGGCCUGAGAGGGUGACCGGCGACCUGGGGACUGAGGUACGGGCCAGAGCGCUACGGGGGGCAGCAGUGGGGAAUAUUGCCCAAUGGGGGGACGCCUGAUGCGGGAACGCCGCGUGCGGGAUGACGGCCUUCGGGUUGUGAACCGCUUUCGCCGGUGACGUGGCGUGAUUGACGGUAAUGGGUAAAGAAGCACCGGCUAACUACGUG